CCCUGCCCUGUGGAAAGUCCAAGGUCCUCCCCCCUCCGUCCAUGUCUAGGAAGGUGAACAUCCAAACUGGCUAGGCUCCCACCAAGCCGGAACAUGAAGUAGGAUCAGAACCCCUUGCCAUUGACCUUGGCUUCUCAUCAGUCCUCAUUGUUCGCCAUGAUCAGAGAGUCCGGUUUUAUCCCAUGCUUUUUCAGUCACAGUCCAGCUGGCCUUGCUGAGCUCCCAAUAGAUCAGCCCCCACUGUCUCAGUGGGUGGGUGCACCCCCCGUGGUCCUGACAUCCUUGCUCCUGUUCUCCCUCCAUCUGCUCCUCAUUGGGACCUUGGGAGCUCAGUCCAGUGCUCCAGUGUGGGUCUCUGUCUCUAUCUCCAUCCAUCACCAGAUGAAGGUUCUAUGGUGAUAUGAAAGAUAUUCGUCAGUAUUGCUAUGGGAUAGGGUCAUUUCAGGUUCCCUAUCCUCAGCUUCCCAAGGGACUAACUGGGGACAUCGCCUUGGGCUCCUGGGAGCCACUCUAGGUUCAAGUCUCUUGCCAACACUAAGGUGGCUCCCUUAACUAAGAUAUGUGCUUCCCUGCUCCCCUAUCCAACCUUCCUUUAUCCCAAUCUUCCUGUUUCCCCAAGUUCCCCCAAUCCUCCCCUUCUCACUUUUCUCUCCCCGUCCCCCCUUAUCCCCAACCCACCCCACCCCCAAGAUCCCAAUUUUCUCCCCGGCAAUUUUAUCUACUUCCCUUAGCCAAGAGGAUAACUAUAUGUUUUUUCUUGGGUUCACCUUCUUAUUUAGCUUCGUUAGGUUCACCAGGUAUACACUCCGUGACCUUUAUUAAUGGCUAGAAACCAAUUAUGAGUGAGUACAUCCCAUGUUCAUCUUUUUGGGUCUGGGUUACCUCGCUCAGGAUAGUGUUUUCUAUUUCCAUCCAUUUGCAUGCAAAAUUCGAGAAGUCAUUGUUUUUUACCGCAGCAUAGUACUCUAAUGUGUAUAUAUUCCACACUUUCUUCAUCCAUUCUUCCAUUGAAGGGCAUCUAGGUUGUUUCCAGGUUCUGGCUAUUACAAAUAAUGCUGCUAUGAACAUAGUUGAACAAAUGCUUUUGUCAUAUGAUAGGGCAUCUCUUGGGUAUAUUCCCAAGAGUGGUAUUGCUGGGUCCAGGGGUAGGUUGAUCCCGAAUUUCCUGAGAAACCGAAACACUGAUUUCCAAAGUGGUUGCACAAGAUUGCAUUCCCACCAGCAAUGGAUGAGGGUACCCCUUCCUCCACAGCCUCUCCAGCAAAGGCUAUCAUCGGUGCUUUUGAUUUUAGCCAUUCUGACAGGUGUGAGAUGAUAUCUCAAAGUUGUUUUGAUUUGCAUUUCCCUGAUUGCUAAUGAGGUUGAGCAUGACCUUAGGUGUCUUUUGGCCAUUUGAAC